UACGAAGGGGGCUAGCGUUGCUCGGAAUCACUGGGCGUAAAGCGCACGUAGGCGGAUUGUUAAGUCAGGGGUGAAAUCCUGGAGCUCAACUCCAGAACUGCCUUUGAUACUGGCGAUCUUGAGUCCGGGAGAGGUGAGUGGAACUGCGAGUGUAGAGGUGAAAUUCGUAGAUAUUCGGAAGAACACCAGUGGCGAAGGCGGCUCACUGGCCCGGUACUGACGCUGAGAUACGAAAGCGUGGGGAGCAAACAGG
rnacentral:rRNA from 1 species